UUUUGGUGAACAUUCAACGCUGUCGGUGAGUUUGGUAUUUAAAGGCAAACCAUCGAUCGUUGAUUGUACAUUAAGA